UGAUUUCACUGUAAGUAUUUGUCUGGGGUUUUGGUAAUUGGUAAAUAAAAUCUGUCCUUUUAGGUAUGGGUUGCUCUGGUCUAAGUUGGAUAUUGAAGGUUUGAGUUUUUUAGCUUGGUGAGUAGUUACUUCUAUCCCUUUUCCUAUAUUAUCUUUUUUGUCAUAUUUUUCUUGGCUAAUUGUUAUCUCUUUAAAUUCUUGUAGGUCUAUUUCUUGCUCUUUUUUGCUAUCUUCCAUAUGGCUAAUUCUGCUUUCCGGCUUUUCAAUAGUUUUCUCCAUUCCUU
rnacentral:lncRNA from 1 species